CCUACGGGGUGCAGCAGUGGGGAAUAUUGGACAAUGGGCGAAAGCCUGAUCCAGCCAUGCCGCGUGUGUGAAGAAGGCCUUCGGGUUGUAAAGCACUUUCAGUGGGGAAGAAAGCCUUGGGGCUAAUACCCUCGAGGAAGGACAUCACCCACAGAAGAAGCACCGGCUAACUCCGUGCCAGCAGCCGCGGUAAUACGGAGGGUGCGAGCGUUAAUCGGAAUUACUGGGCGUAAAGCGCGCGUAGGCGGUCUGAUAAGCCGGUUGUGAAAGCCCCGGGCUCAACCUGGGAACGGCAUCCGGAACGGUCAGGCUAGAGUGCAGGAGAGGAAGGUAGAAUUCCCGGUGUAGCGGUGAAAUGCGUAGAGAUCGGGAGGAAUACCAGUGGCGAAGGCGGCCUUCUGGACUGACACUGACGCUGAGGUGCGAAAGCGUGGGUAGCAAACAGGAUUAGAUACCCUGGUAGUC
rnacentral:rRNA from 1 species